UGUAAGGGCUGCUGGGAUUAGACUCUGGC
rnacentral:piRNA from 1 species